rnacentral:rRNA from 1 species
CUAGCAUAUCAAUAAGCGGAGGAAAAGAAACCAACAGGGAUUGCCCUAGUAACGGCGAGUGAAGCGGCAACAGCUCAAAUUUGAAAUCUGGCCCUCGGGUCCGAGUUGUAAUUUGUAGAGGAUGCUUUUGGUGCAGUGCCUUCCGAGUUCCUUGGAACAGGACGCCUUAGAGGGUGAGAGCCCCGUACGGUUGGACACUAAGCCUCUGUAAAGCUCCUUCGACGAGUCGAGUAGUUUGGGAAUGCUGCUCUAAAUGGGAGGUAAAUUUCUUCUAAAGCUAAAUACCGGCCAGAGACCGAUAGCGCACAAGUAGAGUGAUCGAAAGAUGAAAAGUACUUUGAAAAGAGGGUUAAAUAGCACGUGAAAUUGUUGAAAGGGAAGCGUUUAUGACCAGACCUUUGUCUGGCGGAUCAUCCGGUGUUCUUCACCGGUGCACUUCGCCAGGCUCAGGCCAGCAUCGAUUUCUGUAGGGGGAUAAAAACCAUGGGAACGUAGCUCUCUCCGGGGAGUGUUAUAGCCCUAGGUACAAUACCUUUACGGGGAUCGAGGUUCGCGCUUCUGCAAGGAUGCUGGCGUAAUGGUCAUCAACGACCCGUCUUGAAACACGGACCAAGGAGUCGAACAUUUAUGCGAGUGUUUGGGUGUUAAACCCUCACGCGUAAUGAAAGUGAACGGAGGUGAGAGCCCGUACGGGUGCAUCAUCGACCGAUCCUGAUGUCUUCGGAUGGAUUUGAGUAAGAGCAUAACUGUUCGGACCCGAAAGAUGGUGAACUAUGCGUGGAUAGGGUGAAGCCAGAGGAAACUCUGGUGGAGGCUCGCAGCGGUUCUGACGUGCAAAUCGAUCGUCAAAUCUGCGCAUGGGGGCGAAAGACUUAUCGAACCAUCUAGUAGCUGG